GUUGAACGCUGGCGGCAGGCUUAACACAUGCACGUCGAGCGAGCGGCGGACGGGUGAGUAAUGACUGGGACACUGCUUGAUGGCGGGUGAUAACUACUGGAAACGGUAGCUACUACCGUAUACCAUCAGAUGUGCCCAGAUGGGAUUAGCUAGUGGGUGGGGUAAUGGCUCACCUAGGCGACGAUCCCUAGCUGGGCUGAGAGGAUGACCAGCCACACUGGAACUGAGACACGGUCCAGACUCCUACGGGAGGCAGCAGUGGGGAAUAUUGCACAAUGGGCGCAAGCCUGAUGCAGCCAUGCCGCGUGUGUGAAGAAGGCCUUCGGGUUGUAAAGCACUUUCAGCGAGGAGGCGUUACUCGCAGAAGAAGCACCGGCUAACUCCGUGCCAGCAGCCGCGGUAAUUC
rnacentral:rRNA from 1 species